ensembl:lincRNA
UGUAACUAUAGUGAUGUUUCUGCUUUUGCUUCUAUCAAAAUCCCAAGUUAGACAGAAAAAGAUGAAGUUGCUUAUUUGACAACCACUGUGACCUCAAACAACAUUGGACAUUCGAAUCUGUUUUUCCAAAGUGUGUGAAUGUUGGACUGAGCUUUGGUAAUUUUAAACUUAUUUUGAAGGCUCAAUAGAAU